UCUCCUGGAAACGGGUGGUAAUGCCGGAUGCUCCAGUUGAUCGCAUGGUCUUCUGGGAAAGCUUUCGCGGUAUGGGAUGGGGUCGCGUCCUAUCAGCUUGACGGCGGGGUAACGGCCCACCGUGGCUUCGACGGGUAGCCGGCCUGAGAGGGCGACCGGCCACAUUGGGACUGAGAUACGGCCCAGACUCCUACGGGAGGCAGCAGUGGGGAAUAUUGCACAAUGGGCGCAAGCCUGAUGCAGCGACGCCGCGUGAGGGAUGGAGGCCUUCGGGUUGUAAACCUCUUUUAUCGGGGAGCAAGCGAGAGUGAGUUUACCCGUUGAAUAAGCACCGGCUAACUACGUGCCAGCAGCCGCGGUAAUACGUAGGGUGCAAGCGUUAUCCGGAAUUAUUGGGCGUAAAGGGCUCGUAGGCGGUUCGUCGCGUCCGGUGUGAAAGUCCAUCGCUUAACGGUGGAUCCGCGCCGGGUACGGGCGGGCUUGAGUGCGGUAGGGGAGACUGGAAUUCCCGGUGUAACGGUGGAAUGUGUAGAUAUCGGGAAGAA
rnacentral:rRNA from 1 species